rnacentral:rRNA from 1 species
AUUGAACGCUGGCGGCAGGCCUAACACAUGCAAGUCGAGCGGAUGAAGGGAGCUUGCUCCUGGAUUCAGCGGCGGACGGGUGAGUAAUGCCUAGGAAUCUGCCUGGUAGUGGGGGAUAACGUCCGGAAACGGGCGCUAAUACCGCAUACGUCCUGAGGGAGAAAGUGGGGGAUCUUCGGACCUCACGCUAUCAGAUGAGCCUAGGUCGGAUUAGCUAGUUGGUGGGGUAAAGGCCUACCAAGGCGACGAUCCGUAACUGGUCUGAGAGGAUGAUCAGUCACACUGGAACUGAGACACGGUCCAGACUCCUACGGGAGGCAGCAGUGGGGAAUAUUGGACAAUGGGCGAAAGCCUGAUCCAGCCAUGCCGCGUGUGUGAAGAAGGUCUUCAGAUUGUAAAGCACUUUAAGUUGGGAGGAAGGGCAGUAAGUUAAUACCUUGCUGUUUUGACGUUACCGACAGAAUAAGCACCGGCUAACUUCGUG